rnacentral:rRNA from 1 species
AACGAACGCUGGCGGCAGGCCUAACACAUGCAAGUCGAACGUGAAGCCACCUUCGGGUGGUGGAAAGUGGCAGACGGGUGAGUAACGCGUGGGAACGUGCCUUUCGGUUCGGGAUAACCCAGGGAAACUUGGGCUAAUACCGGAUACGCCCUUCGGGGGAAAGAUUCAUUGCCGAAAGAUCGGCCCGCGUCGGAUUAGCUAGUUGGUGGGGUAAAAGCCUACCAAGGCGACGAUCCGUAGCUGGUCUGAGAGGAUGACCAGCCACACUGGGACUGAGACACGGCCCAGACUCCUACGGGAGGCAGCAGUGGGGAAUAUUGGACAAUGGGCGCAAGCCUGAUCCAGCCAUGCCGCGUGGGUGAAGAAGGCCCUAGGGUUGUAAACCCCUUUCAGCGGGGAAGAUAAUGACGGUACCCGCAGAAGAAGCCCCGGCUAACUCCGUGCCAGCAGCCGCCGUAAGAC